AUUUGUUUAUGAUUUUUCGCAAAUAAAUUUAAAUCCAUAUUUUAAAGCCAGUGACUGCUAAUUUAUGAAGAAUUUAGUUGAAGAGGUCAAGUUUUACGACAUAUGGCAAUCCUUCUCAUUUUCAACGCCACUAGUGUGUUUUCCUAAAUUAUAUAUAUUCAUAUACAUAUAUAUGUAUUCACAAAAAAUAUGCUGUUAUAUAAAAUUUGCGAUGAAAUUCAUUAAUUUUCAGCAAAUAAUUUUUACUACACUCUGUGCGACGCUGAUAGCGUCAGUAAGAUGAAAACAUAAUGAAAUAAAGAAUGAAGUUAAAUAAAACGUAAUAGAUUGUUGACAAUAAAAAAUAGCAAAAAAUAAUUAAAAAAUUAGAAAACAUUUUACCUCUCAAAAUAUUCGGAAUAAACCGCAGUCGCAUAGUGUUUAAGCUUAAAAUCCAAGCGCGCAAAGUUUAAUCACCCUGAAAUCGUCCGAAAAAAAUACUUUGUCUUUUUCUCCACGCUACGUGGUCGCCACAACCACAGCGCCUCGUAACGGUUUAUUGCAAAUUUGCCUUUUGCAUAAAUUAAUAGAUACAAAGAAGAGUGAACGAAAAAUGCGUUUUACCGCUUUGCAAACACUCUUUAUAUGCACACAUACAUACCAGACAAUUAUGUACAUUCAUUCAUAUGGAAUUAGAUAUGUAAAUAUUGAAGUUGUUGCGCGCGAAUGUGCAUCGUGCGUGCGCAGUGUAGGGCGACGAGCAUUGAACCAAACGACAAAGUGACAACGUUGUAAAAGGCAAUAGAAAUUUCUGCAGUUUUUGUGAAAUUUUUGGCAGCGAACGCGUUGGCCGACAUAUUUACAUACCUAUAUUCAUAUUUCGUUGCAGAAAAUGCAAUUUAUUAGCGCUUAGAGCUUGCACCUUGCUUGUGAAAAUGAGCUGUGAAAAUACAACAACAAAAGCUACAACAUUCAAUAAUACGUGUACGCGCUGCUGGGAAGCUUCCAGAAACCGCACCUUUUCACUUAAAAAAUUUUCUUGGCUGACUGCCUGAAGACUCUGGCACAAACCCAAACAGGAAAAUUGUAGCUCAGUGGAUUGUACAUUACUUGGAGCUUGGACAUCAAGGGACUUUUUUCUGCCACUGUUAGCUCCAGACAGGUGAAGGAAAUUUAACUAUAUCCUUGGAAAAACUUCAGUAGGGUAUAAUUCAAGACACAAAGUUAGAGGCACUUGGAUGCUAACUCUUAAAAGAUAACAUUUUUUUUGGAGUUAUGCAACAACUAUUACUGAGAAAACAUUUUCUGAGUGUCAUUUGUGUCUAAGAUAUGGUCGCUUCUUUAUAAAUUUAAAUAUAUAUAUAUUUCAUACAACAAAUUGCUAUUCGAACAAAUUAAAUUAUUUGUAUCUUUAUAUGUUGGUAUAUUAUAUAUAUAUUAUAUAAAAAAAACUUGUUUUUCACCGCUUGUUUACCGCUUUUUGACGCAUUCAUUAUGAAUAAAUAAAUACGUCAGUAUGUCAUAUCAAAUAGAAAUCAAUAUAGCAUAAAUAAAAUAAUUACAUUUUUAUUAAACGCCAUUUUUUCGCAACACGCUGCCCUCGCUUAACAGCGACACAUACAUAUAGACAUAUAUAAUAUUAUAUAUAUAUUUACAAUAACUUAUAUACUUUUUUAAUUAGAAUUUCAUAGGUUUAAGAAAUCUUUGUGAUAAUAUGUUGUUUAUUGUCUCGGCAUAUUUCAAAUGAUAUAAUGGUUUUACUUUUUUUUUUGUUUAUAAAUUAAUAAUAGGUGCGUUCUUCACUAAUUACAACAAGUGCUUAUCUAUAUUUAAAAAAAUUCAGUUUCUUCGAAAUUGCAAUUUUGUUGCGCUCUGACGUCGAAAAACCGAAAAAAAUUACUGUCAUGAAACCCGUUAACCGAAAUCUUCGUUGCCGUAAACUUUCACUUUGCUUGCAUAUACUGCUUUAUUAUUAAGCACUACGUACAUACUCGCAUAUUGUCACGCUCUUCUUGACAUUAUUUAUUUAAAUUGAUUUUCGAAAUAUAGCAGUAAAUAUUGAAAUAGCAUUUGUUUCUAAAUAUUUUAAGUGAUUUCACAAAAGCAAGUUCUUUUUAGACUGCCAAAUGUCUGCUUUUUGGCGUUCACACGUCAACAUUUUGGUAGAAAAUAGAUUCAAGGGGCAACGCAAGCAAAUUGACAGAUAUAUAUUAUAGAAGAUGAGCAAAGCAAAUUAGGCGAUUUGUAGUGCGGAAAGGCAAAAGAAGCAACGCAAACGAAAUAGUUUUAAAAGGAAAGAUGUCAUUAGCGGUAGCCGAUGGUUACGCGGAAAAGGUGGUGCCAGCUUGUUAGAAAGCAAGAAAGACUAGAGCACACUUUGGCAAAGAAGUUAUUUUGCAGCGAAAUGGCUUCAAAUAAUUGCAAAUGUGUUUUCUUAUAAAAAUUUUGAGGCCUGCAAUAAUUUGGAACAACUUAAUUGAAUUAAAAUUUAAAUUUGCAUAUCGUAUUACUUUUAAAAAGUAAUAAAUUUUUACUUUCCUAAAAAUUUCACAAAAAAAUUAUAGUUUUUCUACAAAACAAUCAAAUAUACCGUUAUAAAAUGCAUACAAAUUCGAAUAUCAUUGAAUUCUGCGCAGUUUUAAUCAUCUGAGUGUUAAAUAUUUACUGAAUUUAAUUUGAUUUUGUUAUCAAGGAAGCGAAAAAGAUACUCGCUGCAUGAUUGAUGUUGGUAAACAAAGCCUUACGUAUAUAGUAAUCGUAUUGGAAUUUGCAAUGGCGCCAGAUAAAGCUUUCUUUUACGAUAAACUUUGCGAUUUUCUAUUAUAUAUACUACAUAUUGCUAAUGAUUUAUCUUUCAGCCAGCAAAUUAAAUUUUUUGCUAACGAAAUUGUUUCUUUUUAGCUCUGUCAGAAUAUAUGAAGGGCAACAUAAAAACUUCCGUAAGUGACGCAGAACACUAGAUAGUAACCCUGAAUUGCUCAUACAUUAUUUAAACCAAUACACGAAAGUUACACAAGAAAAUUUACGUGGAAAAGGAGAGACAAGCACAGAGACGUAUACCAGUACAUAAACGUAGACAAAUGCAUGCAAAAAUAGAAUGCUAAAUGUUGGUUAAUCGAAUGCUGAUCGCUUACCGAUCUU